UUAAAGCAUUUGCUCCAUUCUACCACAUGGGGAGGCCCCUUUUGAUACUUUUCUAAUAUUAAUAUAUAUAUCCCUUUAUUAUGAACCACUCAUUAGAUGCAUUCUCAAGCUCACUACUCAAUCGUUGAAUCCUCCAUUAGCCGUACAAACUGCCAUUAAACUCCAGAAUUCGACACCCUCUUGACUGACACAAGAAAAGAAGAGCAAGAAGGCGGCAAUUGCCACAAAGGACAAUGGACGAGAUUACUAUAAAGAAUGAACUAACCGUCGAAGAGGAGCAAAUGGAUGAGGUGAGUUCUUUGAGGAAGUUGGUAAAUAUUUGUACUAGAUAAACAUGUAAAUAUUUGUAUAACCUCAACUCUUACAGAAGUUUAAAACUUUAAUUAUAAGGUGAAACUAUAAUAUUUUCAUAUCAUAUUAUUGGGAAAUCUUUAGUAAUAUAUAAAUUACACACAGAUUAAUUAAUAAUAAAUAAGAUAACCCUACGAAUAGAGUAUAAAAGCAAAGAACAAUGAUCUAGAUGCAAAAUAUCAAAGUUUUAUUUUUUAUUGUCAAAGAUGAUUUUCAUGCCAAAGAUUUAUUUAUUUUUUUUAUUAAUCCCAAAUCCUUCGUAACAAAGAAUUUGCUCAAAUUUAUGUUAAAAUUAUCGUUUUAAAAUCAUGCUUGGUAAUUAGCAUAUCACCUGCAUAAAAGAGAAAAGACUUGUACAGUCAUUAUUAGAAAACUUUUAUUCCUAAAGACAUAUAUAGGUCUUAUGGGUGAGCAUUAAAUAGAAAUAUUUGCACUUCCAAAUCAAACCAAAAAUUUCAACUAAUUUGGUUAGCUUGUUUGGUUCAGUUUUUUGUUAUUAUCUUUUCAAAUUUUGGUUUUUUUUCGAAAAAUGGGUUAAACAUUACUUAACUAAUUAAAAUAUAUAAAACCCUAAAUUAUUAAUUAAAAAAUAAAUGUUAGGAUAGAAUGAUCCAUUUUAAAAUAAUAACAAGCGAGAUGAAUUUUAAUUAUUUUUUAUGAAAUAGUGUAUGGGGUACUGUGAAUCUCAAUGAAAAAAAAUUAAUUUUAAAAAUACUGUCAGUAUAUAUUACUCAUACUUUGAUGUGAUUUUAAAAGUUAAAUUUUUGAUCUUUUAUAACUUAAAUUUAAACGUGUAUUUUUAAAUUCAAAUAUAUAUACGAGGUUGUUAAAAUCGUAAAAUCGUAAGAGGGUUUUCGACAUGUAAGAUCGUAAAAUCAAGUGCGAUUCAAUUUCAAAAUCGUAAAAUCAUAAGGGUUUUUGAUACACAAAAAAUCAUAAAAUCGUACCCGUAAAAUCGGGAGUUUAACAACCAUGUAUGUAUAUUUAUUUAUUUUAAUUAUUUAUGAAUUUUUUUUUACAAUAAAGCAAUUUAUAUAUAUUCAUGCCUUGUUGCCAUAUUCAAAAAGAUUUUAAAAAAUUUAGAAUUCAUAAAAUAUAGAAUUUUAAUGUCCUAAAACUUAAUUUUGGUACCUUGUGCAUAUGGUGUUGUAAGUUUUUUUUACAGAGUCAGACAAGUUGAUAGACAAACUUAUAGAAUGGGAAUUAAAAGAUUAAAAUGCCCUCAUCUACAUUGUAAUGAAAAAAAAGUAUUACAAUAUAAGUGAGGAUAUUUUAAUUUUUUAAUAAAAUAUAAAAAUAUUUAAAUAUAUAUUAUAUUAAAAAAUAUAUAUGAAUAAAAAUAUUUUAAUUUUUAAACCCUCAUAUAAACUUAUCUAUGAAUUUAUCUCGCUCAUAUUCAAAAAAAAUACCGUACAAGCAGCAUUAUUUUUCGUGCGCCAAAUUAGUGAAAAGGACACAAAAGAACGAAAGAGCUCGUCUUUUGCUAAAGAGACUUAAAAUUAAUAUUAAAUUUAUGGCAUGGAAAACGUGCCAUGCAAGGACGAUAAAAGCAUAAACGGCGAACAAUGAUGGGGGCAUCCCCUGUAUGAUUUCACGUGCCCAGCGGCCCAGCCAGCCUCAGUGACCAAAUUCUACCGCACGGGGGAGGGCCCACUGCUCCUUUUAUUAUGAACCGCUCCUUUAGCUGAGCUCACUACUCCUUCACUGAAUCCUCCCACCGACGUACAACAGAAAAUGCGCCAUGCUAAUUGGUGGUGGGAUUCUGAUUGGUGGGGCCCAGUUGCUCCCUUGUCUUGUUCGCAGCUGAUUUGCCGUGUUUGAAAAUUCAAAAUUUGAAUUUUCACGGAUCCCGCCUUAGCAGUUAUUUGAAUUUUGACCGAGGGAUGCGGCAGCCUGUCAUGGCUGCCACUGUUUGGCUUUUUCAGAUGUGACGUGGGGGCUCAUUAAUUUAUGGCACUUCCAGGAGGUUCUUCAAGCCUAAUGGAGCAUUGAUAUAAUUUAGGUUUCUUAUAUUUAUAUAGGCUUUUAUGUAUUUUUAGUUCUAAACAUUUUGAUUUGCAGGCUA